GAACACAAGUAUACUGAAUAUAAAGAAUAUUUAAACAUAUUAGAAAUGCUGAAAAGUAACUGGUAACCUUGAAGUCAGUCCUGUUAUUUGUGUAAGGUUGGUAAUAACUAGUAGAGAGUUAAAUGAUAACAUCAAUACCCCAGUACAUAAUUCCUGAUAAGAACAUCUUGAAUUUUUUUUUUUUUUUUUGGUAUCAUUGAGUUAAGGAAACGAUGGUUUCAAAGGAAGCAGAAGAAAAAUGUGAAUUCC